GUGUUCACUUUGGCAACACAUACACUAAUAUUGGAACAAUACAUAGAAGAUUAGCAUGGCUUCUGCACAAGGAUAACAUGCAAAUUCAUGAAGCAUUUCAUAUUUUA
ensembl:snRNA U6 U6 spliceosomal RNA